AGAGCGAACGCUGGCGGCAGGCCUAAUACAUGCAAGUCGAACGGCUCUUCGGAGCAGUGGCGGACGGGUGAGUAACGCGUGGGAAUGUGCCCUUUGGUACGGAACAACUGAGGGAAACUUCAGCUAAUACCGUAUGUGCCCUUCGGGGGAAAGAUUUAUUGCCAUUGGAGCAGCCCGCGUUGGAUUAGCUAGUUGGUGGGGUAAAGGCCCACAAGGCGACGAUCCAUAGCUGGUCUGAGAGGAUGAUCAGCCACACUGGGACUGAGACACGGCCCAGACCUCCUACGGGAGGCAGCAGUAGGGAAUCGUGCGCAAGUGGGCGAAAGCCUGACGCAGCCAUGCCGCGUGAAAUCGAUGGAGGGUCUUAGGAAUUAGUAAAAUUCUUUCGACCGGGGAAGAAUAAUAGACCGGUACCCGGAGAACGGAACGCCCGGACUAACGUCGUCGACCAGCAGCCGAC
rnacentral:rRNA from 1 species